GACGAACGCUGGCGGCGUGCUUAGCACAUGCAAGUCGAACGGAAAGGCCCUGCUUUUGUGGGGUGCUCGAGUGGCGAACGGGUGAGUAACACGUGAGUAACCUGCCCUUGACUUUGGGAUAACUUCAGGAAACUGGGGCUAAUACCGGAUAGGAGCUCCUGCUGCAUGGUGGGGGUUGGAAAGUUUCGGCGGUUGGGGAUGGACUCGCGGCUUAUCAGCUUGUUGGUGGGGUAGUGGCUUACCAAGGCUUUGACGGGUAGCCGGCCUGAGAGGGUGACCGGCCACAUUGGGACUGAGAUACGGCCCAGACUCCUACGGGAGGCAGCAGUGGGGAAUAUUGCACAAUGGGCGGAAGCCUGAUGCAGCAACGCCGCGUGCGGGAUGACGGCCUUCGGGUUGUAAACCGCUUUCGCCUGUGACGAAGCGUGAGUGACGGUAAUGGGUAAAGAAGCACCGGCUAACUACGUGCCAGCAGCCGCGGUGAUACGUAGGGUGCGAGCGUUGUCCGGAUUUAUUGGGCGUAAAGGGCUCGUAGGUGGUUGAUCGCGUCGGAAGUGUAAUCUUGGGGCUUAACCCUGAGCGUGCUUUCGAUACGGGUUGACUUGAGGAAGGUAGGGGAGAAUGGAAUUCCUGGUGGAGCGGUGGAAUGCGCAGAUAUCAGGAGGAACACCAGUGGCGAAGGCGGUUCUCUGGGCCUUUCCUGACGCUGAGGAGCGAAAGCGUGGGGAGCGAACAGGCUUAGAUACCCUGGUAGUCCACGCUGUAAACGGUGGGUACUAGGUGUGGGGUCCAUUCCACGGGUUCCGUGCCGUAGCUAACGCUUUAAGUACCCCGCCUGGGGAGUACGGCCGCAAGGCUAAAACUCAAAGGAAUUGACGGGGCCCCGCACAAGCGGCGGAGCAUGCGGAUUAAUUCGAUGCAACGCGUAGAACCUUACCUGGGUUUGACAUGGAUCGGGAGUGCUCAGAGAUGGGUGUGCCUCUUUUGGGGUCGGUUCACAGGUGGUGCAUGGCUGUCGUCAGCUCGUGCCGUGAGAUGUUGGGUUAAGUCCCGCAACGAGCGCAACCCUUGUUCACUGUUGCCAGCACGUUAUGGUGGGGACUCAGUGGAGACCGCCGGGGUCAACUCGGAGGAAGGUGGGGAUGACGUCAAGUCAUCAUGCCCCUUAUGUCCAGGGCUUCACGCAUGCUACAAUGGCUGGUACAGAGAGUGGCGAGCCUGUGAGGGUGAGCGAAUCUCGGAAAGCCGGUCUCAGUUCGGAUUGGGGUCUGCAACUCGACCUCAUGAAGUCGGAGUCGCUAGUAAUCGCAGAUCAGCAACGCUGCGGUGAAUACGUUCCCGGG
rnacentral:rRNA from 1 species